AGAUUGGGGUAAGAUUGUAGGGUUUGGAGAGGGGAUCUUUGAUUUAGGGGAUGCGAUACGCUUUGUGAACUGAGAUGUUGUUUUGAGAAGGCGCUGCGAGAAAUUCGAACGUUUUGGGAAGUUUUCAUCUUGAAUGUGUUUAUAUUUCAGUGGCUAUGAAUAUAAUCGACCUUGUUUGUAUUAAUGCAAUAAACGUUGUUGCAUUUCAUUAGAUAAGCUUCAAGUUGCUUCCAUGUAAUGGUGAAAGUAUCGAAUGCAUAGUGUUAGAAGGCGUACCAUUGAAUAGUACGAUAUAAGAUUGACCUGUCGCUUGAGUGAUGUUCGACGAGGAGUGGGGCAAAGUUACGCUCGAAUCGCUGGUAAACAUUCACCGACGAUCGUGGGUAGUUGAGACAGUUCUCGCUGCCACGUUAUUGCUACUCCGCGAACUUAUUCCGGAAUUUUUGUAACAGACUUCGUGGAAUCUCGUCCCAGCACUGACACCGCGACGCAAUUACUAAUUGCCAAUUGCGUGAAGGUCUCCAUUGAACCGACGACGAACCAUCAAGUUCAGUUUUCGUAAUAAGAAUUUCCUAUCUAAAUCCUGCGCCUGAAUCCCGUUGCCCGUCCUUCGUGGUACCUGCGAUGCCCUUGAAACGAUCCUGACGUUGUUCCGUUGAAAAAUGGCAGGGAAAAAGAAAGGGAAGGGAAAGGGGAAGAAGAGGAAGGUCGAUGAGUACCAGCUCCGCAGAAGUUUGAGGGAACAAGCGCGAAGAAGGGAAGCGGAGGAUUUGGAGGACGAAAUGGCAAAACCUGCGAAAGAUCUGUCCCAAUAUGACAAAGACAUUAGAAUCGGCGGCAUUGAGGGCGGCGCUACCCAUUCUACUUUGGUAAUCAUUGACGGUAAAGGAACGCCUCUGACGGAAGUUAAAGGGCCGCCUACUAAUCAUUGGGCUUUGGGAAUGGAUGAAACUGCCGCUAGAAUCAGCGCGAUGGUUCAAAGGGGAAAGGAAAACUUGGAUAUCCCCGAAUCGGUCCCCUUAAACGCCUUAGCACUCAGCCUCAGCGGAUGCGAGGAGGAGGUGACGAACCGUCUUCUCGCGGACACUGUACUGCAAAACCAUCCGAACGUAGCGAAAGAAUGUUUUGUCAGUUCGGACACGUUGGGCAGCCUUAGAACCGCCCUGGACAGCUGCGGAAUCGUUUUGAUCGCUGGCACUGGUAGCAAGGGGUUAAUGAUUAACGCCGACGGGACAACUGUCACGUGCGGAGGCUGGGGACACAUGAUGGGAGACGAAGGCAGCGCGUAUUGGUUGACCCAGCGAGCCUGUAAAUAUGUCUUCGACGACAUCGACGGUUUGUUCGCUGCGCCGCAGCCAAUCAGCUACGUGUGGCCGGCUCUUAGGACGUUCUUCAACGUAACCGACAGGACAAACCUGUUGACGCACUUGUACACGGAUUUCGAUAAAAGUAAAUUCUCCAAGUUCGCUAAGGAAAUCGCUGUUGGUUGCGAGAACGAGGAUCCUCUUUGUCUACAUCUGAUGGCAGAAGGUGGGACGAUCCUUGCCAAGUAUGUCGUGGCUCUAGCGAAAAACGCUCACAAUACACUAAAGUUAGCUCAUGGUGGUCUGAAGGUGAUCUGCGUUGGAUCCGUCUGGAAAUCGUGGGAGCACAUGAAAGAUUCUUUCCUGAAUGAAAUUUACGACUCGGAGGCUGUUGACGAGCUAACUUUGCUUCGCUUGACAGUGUCCGCAGCUGUGGGUGCCUCCUACGUAGCCGCCGAGAAGAUCAAUUGGGCAUUCCCGAAGUCGUACGAGAAGAACGCCGAACAGUUUUACCAUUUCAAACGAGAGAAUUUUGUGAAGCCUGUGCCGAAGAUCAAAUCAGCGCCGCGACUAGUGCCUUGCAAUACUGCGAAACGGGAUUAAAUUAGUGGAAGUCGAAAGGGAGAAGAGCCAAAGAACGAUACGCCAAAAUGUUUGCGGCAAUCAAGUACAAGUAUACGAGGAUUCAUUCCGAGGGAAUGUAAGAUAUUUAUAUUGCAUUUGUACUGUGAAUAAAUGAGCAACACCUUGAAGCGUCAGGCUUGUGAUUCAAUAGGACAAUUGACAUUCGUGUUCGAUACUUAUGAUUUUUUAUUUCGAUUUGAGAUGUUGAGAAAUGUAUGACUCGUCGAGUGACUGGUAUUAAGAGAUACGUUUGGGUAAAUUGCAAGGUGUAAAGGAAAUGAUAUUUAAAACAUUUUGGGACUGGAUCGUUUGUGUCUUCUCAUUUACUUUGACAACAUUGGGAUAUGUUUUCGUCGUUCUCGCCAGUUUGAUCUUCUGUGUCUCGUCCUCCGUUCUUAUGCUGAUCAUAAUCCUGCAACUGCUUGGGUACGAAUUCUCAACGACUGAAGAUGAAUGACACGAGAGAAGUAACUGUUAUGAAUUGGAAUAAUUAUAAAGUCAACUGAAGAGUUUCCUUUUCUUUUUUUUUAUUAGAAAUAAUAUUUCGAAUGUUAUUAUUUCAGAAGUGUGUCCAGGUCUGUUGUCCGAGACACUGGCAAUAAAAUUUAAAUAAGUUAAUCACAAACGGGCAUAACAGUUCUUUGAAAAAUAUAUUUCGACACAAUAUAUCACAAUAGUGUACAUUUAAAUCUUUGUAACGUGAACGAACGUCACUCAGGUCAUGCUUGGAGCGAAACUAUCUUAUAUAUUUUAUCUUAUACCAAGAACUGAAUUCAUGUUUAGCUUUUAACUCCUCUGAAAUUUGUAAUUUGUUCUAAAACAAACAAAUAUCUUUUACAAGUUGUGAAGAUGUGUGAAACAUGAACAUCGAACUUGGUAUAAUUAUAACAAAUAUUUUCUCUAGACGUAACAGUUUAAGGUACUCUCGACAAAAUAUACAUAAUCCUUUUAACAACCGUAUAAGAAUUAUUCGGCUAACGCUAAACGUAUGCGUUUAGUCUCACUAGAUAGAGAAAUUUAUGCAGUGUGAUGCAAUAGUUUUACAUGCUCGAUUAAAACUAUAGUAUAUGUAUAAUCUCUGCUUAUAUAAAAUCUAAAGUAUCGAAUCACCGUUCUCGUAAGCAUUGGCUUGUCCAAUCACGAUCAAUUUUCUAUAUUCCAUACUGGAAUUAAUUACUAUAUUAAGUGUAUAUAGACACUUCUCUAACGUACACCUAUAUACACAUAAAAUUUGAUAAGAGUAGUUUCAAUUUUUCCAUAUUAAGCAUCAACAUUAAUGAUAUAUAAUAGUACACUUUAUAAACAUGUUUAUAUGUAUAUAUAUACAUAGUUCUGCCUAUACAUAUAUAUUCGCAAUCUGAUACUCUGAUGUUUAAUACUUUAUAGAUUUUACAUUACUUAUUUUCUUUACAAUAUUUAAAUUAUUGCUAUACUUUAGUUCUAUAAAUGUACGAUUACUAAAAGAAUUUAGUAGUGAUGGCUUUAUAGUUCUGCAGAACUGAGGUGUUAACAAAAAGAUUGCUUAAACAGAUUUUAACCAGUAGAUUGUUUAGUUCGUUAGAAGAAUAAAUAAAUUAAUCAGUGUUUCAAAUCAAAUAUCUCUAUGAGCAGUGGUUCCACCCGUGAUGGAUUUAAAUUAAGAUAAACUCCGACAACUUCGUUAUUCAGUCUGUGAAGGUCAGAAAUUUUUUGAAUCAAUUUCAAAAACAUAGAUUUGGCCUCGCAGCCAGGAUAUACGCUUUCCAAAUAACGUCUAAGCAAGUAAUAGUACGAAUUCUAUAAAAAAAAAGAACGUAUUGUUAAAACUAAAUGACACAGUUCUAUCGUUUGAACUAAAAGGAAAUAUAUUUCACUUACUUGCUCCAAUUUGAUAACGUCAUUGUGCACCACUUUUGGUCUGUCAGGUGUAAAC